rnacentral:rRNA from 1 species
UAAUGGCCGGCGAUUGGUUCGCUAAUUGGUUGGGGGUCUGCCAGUCCGUCAAAGGCGAAGCAGCAGAAGGGGCCCAGGAGGAAGGUGGAGCAGCGGAGGGAGGGAGGUGGGGAGCUUGAGGAGCGGGAGCGGCCGAGGGUUUAGGGCGGUGGGGCGGAAUUAGGGGGAGGGUGCCGGCUGCGCCUCCUCUGGUCGGUGGUCGACACAGCGCCGGCCUAAGCCGGCGACUAGCUCCCGGCGAAGGAAACCCACGAACCUAACCUACCGCCCGGCCAGCGCCCCAGGGACCAGCCGCAUCGUCCGACCCGACCGGCCGCGGUACAAGCGCGGCUCCUUCCACCUCCUGCUCUACCGCGAGCCGUCCGUCUCCUGGCAGUCCAAGAUACUGCUCCCCUCUUUCGGUCGCUAUGGCUAAGUUGUCUUUGUCCGUCGCAAGCGACGAUCAUUUGAACCGCAACGCUCGAGUCCCUUCUUGUUCUAAAAGCACCCUCCCCUACGCGUCGUCAUGUUCUAAAAGCUAGGUAGAUCGCUGAAGUAGAACUACACCUUGGCGUAAAAGGAAAAAAGCAGGAAGGAACGAGAUAAAUAUCUAGGGGACAUGAAGAUGCACGGUUUUUAGCAGAUACCGCUGUGGAUAAGGACACAACCCUGUCUGUCCGUAAACUGGUAGUAGUAAUGUAAGAAGGCUAGUUAACGGCUAGAGAACAUACACUAAGUGUAGUAUUACUUCAAGUCUUGACGUAAACAAUUUUGAUCGAGUUGGAACGCCCAAAAGCCCUCUCCUCUAGAACAGUGUCUGGGAUUUCUCUAACGUACCUUUAUAAACUCUAGACUGAAACGUUAACUACACCACCGACGUAACGGAAACGGCGUCUAGUAUCAGACCAUACACUAUGGUCGAUAGUUCAUAAGACCACGACUCGUAUUGUUAUUGUAAGACCACGAAUAUCAAGAACGAGUCAUAGAAGGUUCUGAUAUAGAGUAUAAGGGAAAUUGAAUACUUUAACAGUUUCGAUGACCUCAACAGCGUUUCUGACGGACCCUUCCCCGACACAUGUUGGACGAUGAAAUGAACUAUCGAUCAGUACAAGAUCCACGUGAUACCAUGAACGAUAGACAACUAGCGGUUUGUCGGACGACCUUUUACUUAACGUCCUUACUUUCACUAACAUUAUAAUCCAUGGAUCUGACACUAUGUGGUUUAGUCUGUACCCGAUCAUGCUGAUUAGAGAAGUCGUCGACGUUACGAUCACUACUGUUGUAGUGGAAGCUGAUACCGUACAAAGUCGGACGUGACAGUUUAGUUCGCGGACGAGUCCCAAAGAACUCUUUCAAGAAGAUAAGGGAAACCACCCCAAAUGUCUUAGAAUCAACGAUGCCGGUCUGUGAAAGACACUCGUGGAUGUAACCACUCUGUGACAUGACAUAUAAGAACCGUCAUGAACCAGAACAGAACAAACGCGUAAACUAACCUUUACACGUCUGGAUGAACGUUAGAUAGUGACACUCCCAACUCCUCACCUCUAAUUUCGUUUCUCUAUGCCUCCUCACCUACUCUGUAGCGGUUGAAGGACUACUUGACGCCCUUUCUCAAUCUGCUAAAUAGGUCAUGUUCACCGAACGUUGAGCUCCACACUUACUUCUCAGAUAUAAUGUCCAAAAUGGUCGUCUAGAUGCUGCACUGUAAUUUGCGGUGGAAACGAACCUAGAACAAGCGGCCCACGGCAAAAAGAGGGUCUACCUACUGGUUGAAGAUCUACGGUAGACACACGCAGAACAUAGUAGUGACACGUGUUUCCCCUGUAUGUAACAGGCACUCCCACUAGGCCACUGACUCUACGAAAAGUAGUAGGCACCCUUUGAUCUCUCGAGGUGUUGUUUACCACCGGCGUGUCCGAAAAAGUUAAGUUGAUGUGACUUUCGACCACUAAAGACGCCACUCCUUGAAGAACCCACCCGAGAACAGGGCUUCGGCUGGCGAUCAAACGGUAGUAGGUGAGCGUGUCACUUCCGUGUUUAUCUUCACCUCCGGAAAAGUGAGGUCCGACUCCUAGAGUUCAAACACCGGUCGGUUAAAUCCGCCAACGUGUCGUUCUUCAACGUCGUGUGAAAGGCUAUGAUGAGUGUGGUAACCUCUUGGACCCCGCGCACGAAGUAGGUUCGACGGACCGCCGCCAUGUCCUCCUCCUUCUACCGCUUUCUGGACUCAUACUCCCUCAGUAAGUUAAGGCACUCUAGUCUUCUGAGCCUACCACUUCUACUGGGAGGUGGGUUCUUCUUAUAGAGAGAUUCUUACUACCGGCCCUUUCAGUACCGACCCUUGUCCUUUCCCGAAGUCCGGUAUUUUCUCAACGGCUGUGACUUCUUCGGCCUGCUCGGUCUAAAGAGCCAGCUUGGGAUGCUCAUUCCAUAUUACAAGAUGGGUCUUGCCAGUGACUAGGAGAUCGAGACGAUGGUUCAAUCAGACAGAAACGACGUAACUCCUCUGACAUUAGGCCAACCUUAAACCUAAGCGUCUUGGCCAGCAACUACGCUCUUAAGAUUAAUUGUGACUUAGGGUUUACGCGCCACCCUCUGGAAUGCUUCUCUACGAUUUGUCUAAUAUGAUGUGUAUCUAUAAGAUCAGUAUUAAUGCAACAUGUAAGUCUACAAAUAGACACAAACAUUUUAAGAACCACGGAGUCGUGUCCCGCGACGAUGUGACUGACAGACUCGAAGUUUCUUUAGGACUGUAACUUCGGUAUCAUACCUCAUGGAAAAACGUCAGAAAAAUCAUGCUCCAAACGAUGUAUAAAACAAUUUUCAUCUGACAUUUACGACGUAUAAGGGG